CAUUCUAGUCUUCUCAUCUCAAGCCUCCGCCGACCGCCGCCUCCGUGCUGCCGCUUCUCGACGAGCCGUUGCUCCGGCCUCCGGGAAACCUCGUAUUGGGACCACUCCAGAUACCAGUCGACCACGGAGUAUCGGACGCCGGAGACGCCGCUGUCCGGCGGCCCCAUCACCAGGUGAAAAACAGGGCCUAUUUUGUGCAAGAACUUACAUACCCAUAUUUAGUUAUCUGCACCUCCCAAGUUGUUGAUAAAAUAUGGAUGAUGGGGAGAUAGAGCUUUCCAGCCAAAUGAUGUUUCCAAAUCCAGAGACUCCUACCAGCCUUGAUGAUUUCAUGCCAAGCAUCAGGACAACAUGCACCCACACUCAUACAUGUAACGCGCCUGGUCCGUCAGCAACCGCGCACACCCAUACAUGCUACCACACUCACACUCAAGUUCUCAGCACAGAUGAUGAUAGCUGCGGAGAUGAUAAAACUAGGCGUAAGAAGGCCAGCAAGCCGUUGGGUAACCGUGAGGCUGUCCGCAAGUACAGACAGAAGAAGAAGGCUCAUACAGCACAGUUGGAGGAGGAAGUGAAGAAGCUGCGUGCCAUUAACCAGCAGCUGGUGAAGAGGCUGCAAGGGCAAGAUGCACUUGAAGCUGAAGUGGUACGGUUGAGGUCGUUACUGGUGGAUGUGCGAGCGAAGAUCAAUGGUGCGCUGGGUAGUUACCCGUUUCAAGCGCAAUGCGGCGUUGGGAAUGUUUCAAGUUGCGAUGGAAUGGCACAGUGCUUUUGUGGGAAAAUCGGAGCUGGGUGUGAGUCAGAGUUGUGAACCUCGUCUAAUGAACUGCCAUGUCAGCCCGGGUUCAGGGCAGAACUUGGUGGUGCCCAUGCUUUAAGCCGGAAGCUUCAUGGUCUCAUCUACCUCAAGGGAUGAGUAGAUAAUGUAAGUAUUCUUUUGUUUCUAGCUUUGCUAUCAGAAUUAGACAGUAGUAUUGUUGAUGCCUUGUUUCAUUAAUGACAUUUACCCCUAAAAUCUGGUUAGUGGUAACUAGUUUCCAGGUUCAGUAUCAAGUGCACAUUCUUUGUUUCUGUACAGUAUAAAAUGUCUUUGGUAAAGGAGAGCUUAUGCUGACUAUGAAGUGUAAAUGUAAUGUUGGACCGUAAUGGCUGUAACUGUUCUACUGUGUUUGUCAUCUUUCUGGUUCUGGUAGUAGCUGAUGGUGGUU